CCUACGGGGGACAGCAGUGAGGAAUAUUGGGCAAUGGACGAGAGUCUGAACCAGCCAAGUAGCGUGAAGGAUGACUGCCCUAUGGGUUGUAAACUUCUUUUAUAUGGGAAUAAAAUGUUCCACGUGUGGGCUUUUGUAUGUACCUUAUGAAUAAGGAUCGGCUAACGCCGUGCCAGCAGCCGCGGUAAUACGGAGGAUCCGAGCGUUAUCCGGCUUUAUUGGGUUUAAAGGGAGCGUAGGUGGGUUGUUAAGUCAGUUGUGAAAGUUUGCGGCUCAACCGUAAAAUUGCAGUUGAAACUGGCAGUCUUGAGUACAGUAGAGGUGGGCGGAAUUCGUGGUGUAGCGGUGAAAUGCUUAGAUAUCACGAAGAACUCCGAUUGCGAAGGCAGCUCACUGGACUGCAACUGACACUGAGGCUCGAAAGUGUGGGUAUCAAACAGGAUUAGAUACCCCUGUAGUC
rnacentral:rRNA from 1 species